AAAUCAGACAAUCACGUUCGUAAACCCAAAGUGACCGUCUACCCAGCGUCCAACCCUGAGUCGAAUGGGAAGAUCACCCUGCUAUGUCUGGCUAGAGACAUGUUUCCAGACUUGGUCAAGAUCUCAUGGGAGAUGGAGGAUGAAUGCGGCCAAACAGUGGAGGUGUCCAAAGCAGAGACGGAACAGCUGGAGCAGAGGGAGGAAGGGCGGACGACCAGUAUGAUCAUCAUUGAUAAAGAGAAUGCGUACAGGAACAAAUACAUCUGUUCUGUGGAGCAUGAAUGGGGCGCUCAAGAUGUUGACAUGCUAAAAGAUCGCUUCUUCUUCAUGUGCAGUCUGAACCUGGCCUCUCUGGUUUAUACAGUGAUGAUAGUGAAGAGCAUGGUGUACUGCUGUGGGCUCUCUCUCCUGCUGCACCACAGGAACAUGGGGAAGUGGACACAACACCUGUAGAAAGGAUACCACCCAGUAUGGAUAAAGAUGUUGUAGGCUGGGAAUAACAUGGAUUUUACAUCCUAUUGAGGUCUAACUUUCAUUUGUAGGCCAAUUUUCUUAUUUUUCAAAACUUUAUAUUUAAGAAGCUAAAAUAUUUUGAACCAUAGAUUUCAUGUCUUCCCAUAACUUCAACUGCCAAUUACGACAUUAAUUGCAGAACAUUUCAUGUAAAUUGUGUUUCCCUGCUGAAAAUUAAAAUGAAGCCUAAUAUUACACUUUUUAUGAUUGUGGGAGCUACCCACUGCAGACACUUGAAUAAAGGUUAAGUUAAGGUUGUGAGAAAAAUAAAAUCUUGAAGGUAGAUCCUUAUGAUUUAAAUGUAGACUAUUUCAUGAAAGUUGCCCUUGAGUAUCUGUCAAAGCUUAAAUAACCUUUUACAAAAUCUGUAUUUGAUUUAUACAAAAAUAUGAACCUAAGUAUUAUAUUUACCGAUACAUUAUUAAAUAUGUAGGGCCAUGAUAUCUAAAAGUCCUAUGUAACAUUAUCCAAUAUAAUAUUUAGUAACUUGUCGUGUGUAAUGAAGUGUUUUUCGCCCCAAUAAAUUUGUUUGUUUUCUAACAUAUUUCAUAUCAUAAUUCAAUUAUUUUGUUCAUGAACAGGAGUAAUAGAAAAUACAUAUUUUAUAUUUUCUUUGAAGAACAAAAAUAAGUGCUUAUUGAGCAGACAAAUUGGUCUAUGAGUGAAUUUAUUAAUUGUUUUUUUUUUACAUUGAUGUUGUUUACAUUGAUAGGUUUGUAUGAAGAGUGACAUUUUCCUUGCUUAACACAUUAAUCAUGUCCUUUCAGAUGGGGAAGGGUUUAAUAAUCACUGCAUGAAAGAAAUGUUACAACAAACAUGGCUCUGCAAAGUAUUCUACAUACUGUAUUGGGCUGUUUUGUAAGAUGAAAUUGUCACCAUAACAGAAAAAAUAAAGGUUACUUAA